CCUACGGGAGGCAGCAGUGAGGAAUAUUGGUCAAUGGACGAGAGUCUGAACCAGCCAAGUAGCGUGAAGGAUGACUGCCCUAUGGGUUGUAAACUUCUUUUAUAUGGGAAUAAAACGUUCCACGUGUGGGAUUUUGUAUGUACCAUAUGAAUAAGGAUCGGCUAACUCCGUGCCAGCAGCCGCGGUAAUACGGAGGAUCCGAGCGUUAUCCGGAUUUAUUGGGUUUAAAGGGAGCGUAGGUGGAUAGUUAAGUCAGUUGUGAAAGUUUGCGGCUCAACCGUAAAAUUGCAGUUGAAACUGGCAGUCUUGAGUACAGUAGAGGUGGGCGGAAUUCGUGGUGUAGCGGUGAAAUGCUUAGAUAUCACGAAGAACUCCGAUUGCGAAGGCAGUUCACUGGACUGCAACUGACACUGAGGCUCGAAAGUGUGGGUAUCAAACAGGAUUAGAUACCCGAGUAGUC
rnacentral:rRNA from 1 species